UCUAGGUACUGCUUUUGAAAACCCAUGACUUAAGGCAGACAGGACAGUAAGCUUGGAGUAAGAUGUUGAAGGUAUUAUUUUAGGAAGAUUCAUUUGGAAGGAUGGAUUGAUAGAAGAGAAAGAAGUUAGACAAACCAAUCAAAGGCUCCUUCAGCCAUCCAGGUAUGAUGCGGGAGCAAUAAGAAGUUGGGCAGUAAAGACUGUGGAAAGGAAGCCAAAAAUGUAAGACAUAUCAGGAUGGAAAUUGCUUGGACUUAGUCAGUGGACCGGAUAUUGGGCUAUUAAGUAGAAAGAGUUAAAGGUAAUCCUAAGAACGUAGGGUAUAAAUUGAGUAGAUGGGAAAACAAGAGUAAGAAUCAAAGAGAAAGAGAAAUUAUAAUGGGGAAUAAAUUGAGGUUUCAAAUUGAGGAAAAGACAAGUUUGAGUUCAAUAAUAUUGAGUGUGAAGUCACCAGAGGUCAUUUAAGGAGAAGGGUCAAGUUGCUAUUUUAGGACUGGAUUUGGGGAAAGAUUAGAGCGAAAGACAUGGAUCUGAACACAAAAAGCACAGAGAUGAUAGCUGGAAAUCUUUAAGGAAGGGGUACAAACAGAGAAGAGUCAAGGGCCUGGGACUAAAUCUUGAAAUUUAAGUCUGUCUAAUCUUCAUCAACAGUUAUUGAUCGUAGCAUUGCUUUGUAAUAGCAAAAAACUGGAAGCAACUAAUUGUCUAAUCAAUAAGAGACUGGUUAGGAAAUUGUUGUAAUUCUAUACAUAGAAUGCUAUGCAGAUUUCUGCACACUUAUAU